rnacentral:rRNA from 1 species
GUGCCAGCAGCCGCGGUAAUACGAAGGGGGCUAGCGUUGCUCGGAAUUACUGGGCGUAAAGCGCACGUAGGCGGCUCUUUAAGUCGGGGGUGAAAUCCUGGAGCUCAACUCCAGAACUGCCUUCGAUACUGUAGAGCUUGAGUUCGGGAGAGGUGAGUGGAACUGCGAGUGUAGAGGUGAAAUUCGUAGAUAUUCGCAAGAACACCAGUGGCGAAGGCGGCUCACUGGCCCGAUACUGACGCUGAGGUGCGAAAGCGUGGGGAGCAAACAGGAUUAGAAACCCCCGUAGUCC